rnacentral:rRNA from 1 species
UAAUGACUUUCUACAUGGAUAACCGUGGGAAACUAGGGCUAAUACAUGCAUAAAGCCCCGACUUUACGGGAGGGGUGUGUUUAUUAGAUCUGAAGCCAACCCGCCUUGUGCGGAACUUGGUGAGUCAUGAUAACCUUACGAAUCGCAUGUCCUAGCGACGGCGAUGCAGCGAUUGAGCUUCUGACCUAUCAAGCUGACGGUAGGGUAUUGGCCUACCGUACUUAUGACGGGUAACGGAGAAUUAGGGUUCGAUUCCGGAGAGGGAGCCUUAGAAACGGCUACCACAUCCAAGGAAGGCAGCAGGCGCGCAAAUUACCCAAUCUCGAUACGAGGAGGUAGUGACAAGAAAUAACAAUGCAGGGCUCUAAGAGUCUUGUAAUUGGAAUGAGUACAAUCCAAAACACUUAACGAGGAUCAAUUGGAGGGCAAGUCUGGUGCCAGCAGCCGCGGUAAUUCCAGCUCCAAUAGCGUAUAUUAAUGCUGCUGCGGUUGAAACGCUCGUAGUUGGACUUUGGGAUGGAAGCUGGGGACGGCCUCCGGGCUGUGACUCAGGACCUAUCCUUAUGCCGUAACCGC